rnacentral:rRNA from 1 species
AUUGAACGCUGGCGGCAGGCCUAACACAUGCAAGUCGAGCGGGGUCUUCGGACCUAGCGGCGGACGGGUGAGUAAUGCGUAGGAAGCUACCCGAUAGAGGGGGAUACCAGUUGGAAACGACUGUUAAUACCGCAUAAUGUCUACGGACCAAAGUGUGGGACCUUCGGGCCACAUGCUAUCGGAUGCGCCUACGUGGGAUUAGCUAGUUGGUGAGGUAAUGGCUCACCAAGGCGACGAUCCCUAGCUGGGUUGAGAGGAUGAUCAGCCACACUGGAACUGAGACACGGUCCAGACUCCUACGGGAGGCAGCAGUGGGGAAUAUUGGACAAUGGGCGCAAGCCUGAUCCAGCCAUGCCGCGUGUGUGAAGAAGGCCUUCGGGUUGUAAAGCACUUUCAGUAGGGAGGAAGCGUUGUGUGUUAAUAGUACACAGCGUUGACGUUACCUACAGAAGAAGCACCGGCUAACUCUGUGCCAGCAGCCGCCGCCGUAA